GCCGGCACGGAGACGGGGGAGACGGGAGUUUUCUGGAUGGGGAAGAAGAAAGGUCGAGAGGGAGCCAGAGACGCCUCAGUAUAUCCUCUCUUUACCUAAGCGUUUCUCAGCAUGUGCGUCCUUCCUUCAGUUUGCUCCCGCUAUCCAUCUCAGAGAGCUCUUCCUGCCAACAUCUCCUCCUCCGUCCAUCACCUGUCCUAGAUGAUGGCCAUAUAGGAGGGAAAUGGGUUCGUGUUUGCCCUAUCUAGUUCUGAUGAGGAUCCAGCAAGCCGAAUUUGUCGCAAACGAGCCCAAUCCGGAAAGGGGCUAAACAUGUGGAGUGUGAGGUGCUAAUUCAGAGAUUCUUUUAUGUCAUGUACUUUGUUUUAGCAUGUUGCGAGCGUGUAUGUAGUUUGUUACCUACACCAUGUUGUGUUGCAACGAAGGUAAUUAUAAAUGUUUUCCGAGCAAGUGUUCUACUGGGAUUACUGCUUGGUAAAGUGGUAGAGUUUAUUUUUGGGGAAAAGAUGAGGUCUUUAUUGGUUUAGACUUGUCAAAAGGAGAUGGUGUACAUUGCGCUUGUGCAGUAUGGGCAUGCGCACUCUUUUGUAAUAAAAAGAAAAAAAAUCAGUUUACUAUUUGUUUGCUUGAA